CGGGUUUGACAUACAAGUAGUAGUGAAGCGAAAGCGGAACGACCUUCGGAGGCUUGAACAGGUGCUGCAUGGCUGUCGUCAGCUCGUGCCGUGAGGUGUUCGGUUAAGUCCGCAACGAGCGCAACCCUCGGCGUUAGUUACAAGUGUCUAACGCAACUGCCCGUGAGAAACGGGAGGAAGGUGGGGAUGACGUCAAGUCAGCAUGGCCUUUAUAUCCGGGGCUACACACACGCUACAAUGGGCGGUAACCG
rnacentral:rRNA from 1 species